rnacentral:rRNA from 1 species
UACGUAGGGUGCAAGCGUUGUCCGGAAUUAUUGGGCGUAAAGAGCUCGUAGGCGGUUUGUCGCGUCUGCUGUGAAAACUCGGGGCUUAACCCCGGGCCUGCAGUGGGUACGGGCAGACUAGAGUGCGGUAGGGGAGACUGGAAUUCCUGGUGUAGCGGUGAAAUGCGCAGAUAUCAGGAGGAACACCGGUGGCGAAGGCGGGUCUCUGGGCCGAUACUGUCGCUGAGGAGCGAAAGCGUGGGGAGCAAACAGG